rnacentral:rRNA from 1 species
UACAGAGGUCUCAAGCGUUGUUCGGAUUCAUUGGGCGUAAAGGGUGCGUAGGCGGUCUGUUGCGUCCGCUGUGAAAACUCGGGGCUUAACCCCGAGCCUGCAGUGGAUACGGGCAGACUAGAGGUAGGUAGGGGAGAAUGGAAUUCCCGGUGUAGCAGUGAAAUGCGUAGAUAUCGAGAGGAACACCAGUGGCGAAGGCGAGUCUCUGGACGACUCCUGACACUGAGGCACGGAAAGCUAGGGGAGCAAACAGG